ACUACAGGAGGCAGCAGUGAGGAAUAUUGGUCAAUGGGCGGAAGCCUGAACCAGCCAAGUAGCGUGCAGGAUGACGGCCCUACGGGUUGUAAACUGCUUUUAUACGGGAAUAACGCGCCUUACGUGUAGGGCUUUGCAUGUACCGUAUGAAUAAGGACCGGCUAAUUCCGGUCCAGCAGCCGCGGGAAUCCGGAAGGUCUGGGCGUUAUCCGGAUUUGUUGGGGUUAACGGGAGCGUAGGCCGCAUGUCAAGCGUGCUGUGAAAGGUCCGGGCUCAACCCGGGCCUUGCAGCGCGAACUGGCGGGCUUGAGUCCGCGGAAAGCAGGCGGAAUUCGUCGUGUAGCGGUGAAAUGCUUAGAUAUGACGAAGAACCCCGAUUGCGAAGGCAGCUUGCUGCAGCGGAACUGACGCUGAUGCUCGAAAGCGCGGGUAUCGAACAGGAUUAGAUACCCCUGUAGUC
rnacentral:rRNA from 1 species